rnacentral:rRNA from 1 species
UACGGAGGGGGCUAGCGUUGUUCGGAAUUACUGGGCGUAAAGCGCACGUAGGCGGCUUUGUAAGUUAGAGGUGAAAGCCCAGGGCUUAACCCUGGAAUUGCCUUUAAGACUGCAUCGCUAGAAUCGUGGAGAGGUGAGUGGAGUUCCGAGUGUAGAGGUGAAAUUCGUAGAUAUUCGGAAGAACACCAGUGGCGAAGGCGACUCACUGGACACGUAUUGACGCUGAGGUGCGAAAGCGUGGGGAGCAAACAGG